AGAGUGUCGAACCCAAAGAGGAGCGGAAGGAAAUGACAAGUGGUUUUCAACAAAGUAAUUUCCGCAGGUAUUGAAAUAGCGGUAACAAGUUGUUUGAUAGCAAGAUAACUAUAACAAGUGACAAGUAGCAAUAGUAACAAUAGGCAUAGCAAGGUAUCCCAAUCCUUUUGUGGCAAAGGACAGGCCAGAACAAUUUCUUAUAAUAGGCAAAGCAUUCUUGAUGACACACAGGAAUUUCAUCUAGUCACUUUUCGUCAUGUUGGGUUAACUCGCGUUCGGUAUUUUGAUAAUUUGAUUUGUGUGUGGACUGGUGCUUGGGUUCUGAUCUUACUUGAACAAACCUCCCACUUAUGAUUAACC
rnacentral:lncRNA from 1 species